rnacentral:rRNA from 1 species
GUGGGUUAUCUCCCUUGAGGUGAGGAAUACCGGCGAGAAAUCGCCGACAAAACCGCAUACGAUUGGUAACAAUCAAAGUUGUGCUUCGCGAGAAGUAUGACGCCACAAGAUGAGCUCGCGCCCGAUUAGCUGGUUGGUGAGGUAAAGGCUUACCAAGGCGACCAUCGGUAGCUGGUCUGAGAGGAUGAUCAGCCACACUGGGAUUGAGAACGGCCCAG